rnacentral:lncRNA from 1 species
AUGGAGAAGAAACAUGAGGGUAUAGUUGGAAUCAUAAAUAGCCAAGCCAAAACUUUAAAUUUAUGUGAACUUGUUGAAUCUUUAAAGAAUGACCAAAUACCUGCAAAUAUGAAUGAGGUCAACCGUAGAAAAUCAACAGGGACCAACAGUGAGAGGGGGUAGAGUGCCUCAAAUGUGUAACCACACAAUGCACUUUGCCACCUUU